AUUGAACGCUGGCGGCAUGCCUUACACAUGCAAGUCGAACGGUAACAGGUCUUCGGAUGCUGACGAGUGGCGAACGGGUGAGUAAUACAUCGGAACGUGCCCGAUCGUGGGGGAUAACGAGGCGAAAGCUUUGCUAAUACCGCAUACGAUCUACGGAUGAAAGCGGGGGAUCUUCGGACCUCGCGCGGACGGAGCGGCCGAUGGCAGAUUAGGUAGUUGGUGGGAUAAAAGCUUACCAAGCCGACGAUCUGUAGCUGGUCUGAGAGGAUGAUCAGCCACACUGGGACUGAGACACGGCCCAGACUCCUACGGGAGGCAGCAGUGGGGAAUUUUGGACAAUGGGCGAAAGCCUGAUCCAGCCAUGCCGCGUGCAGGAUGAAGGCCUUCGGGUUGUAAACUGCUUUUGUACGGAACGAAAAGCCUCUUUCUAAUAAAGAGGGGUCAUGACGGUACCGUAAGAAUAAGCACCGGCUAACCACGUG
rnacentral:rRNA from 1 species